rnacentral:tRNA from 1 species
AUUCUUCUAGUAUCAACCAGUACAAGUGAUUUCCACUCACUAAGUCUUAACCAUAAACUUAAGGAAGAAUA